GUUUGUCUUUGUAUAUAUACAAAGUUAAGCUGUGAGAGUUUUUCAGACUGCGUGAGAAGCAGCAGUUUGUCUGUUUCCUCUGAAGUGAAGACAAAGUCUCUUCAGCUCCAGCUGCAGGUGAGUUCACACAGUGUCUGACAGACCCACGUCAGGACUUGGAUCUUCUUGUUUCUUCAGAUUUGUGACAAUGAAGGUAAGUUAGUGAGCUGGAAUCUGACUUCUUCCAUUUGCACAGGAUAGAGUCUCCUGCCUUUCAUACCUACAGUUUUUACCCCAGAGCGUGCUAUGUUCCUUCAGUCGGACCCUAUGUUGAGGGUCGUCAUGUCCCUACUAAAGGUGCAGGUGUAAGAAUGAACCCAAAAAUAGCAAAUAUUGUGUCUACGUACUUACUAGCUUAAAAGAAGUCGUGUCAUGUUUCCACAGUAGCCCAGAAAGAGUCUAAUGAAUCAAAGUGUGUGUUUGACGAAUCAAACCCCUUUCUAGAAAGAGAAACACAUGUUGUUAAGUUUGGUGACAGUGAAUUUACCGUAAUGUUCACUGUGUAACGCUGAGGCCUCUUGUAAAGAAAGUAUUGACUUCUUUCAGUUUCCUCUUGACAAACACUUCACACAACAAUAUGAUGCUGUGGAGUCUUCAUUUGUUGAUCGGUCAUGAAUCUCCUCUGUUCCAGACGGUACCAGUCCUCUUCCUCCUCCUGGUUCCACUGUUGACCAGCUGCAAAGAGCUCCUCACACCAGCUGACUGCAGUGACAUCCAUCAACAGAACAAGACCUCAUUCAGCGGUGUGUACACCAUCUAUCCUCCUGGGGAAAGGUCAGCGGUCCAGACUCUGCCUGCUCUGGACCCCUUCUCUUGCCUGACCCGCUGGUGCUGUGAGUUUGUUUGUCCCCGUCAUUCCCCCUGCUCACAGUACCAGACCUGUACCUGUAUCAUCACACCUGGUUUUGACAUUGGAUUUCAUUGGAUUAGACUGUAUUCUCAUGGCGCUUCUGUGAUAAUCUUGUUACACAUGAACCUUCUCCAUUGUCCUCCAAUUUGUCCAUGUGAUCUCCGUUGGUUGGCCAUCUUGGUCGUGACAUCACUUCUGGUUUCCACCCAGACCACCAUACUCACCCUACAUCAUCUAGUGACUGUUUAAUUCAUUGAUUUACUGUUGUUCUGUCCUUUAUAAAUAAAGAUUGAUUAUUUAGUCUUGUCCUGUGUUGUCUCUGGCCAUGAAGUCCUUCCUCCAGCUUGUGACAGAUUAUGCUUUAGUUUCUG
rnacentral:lncRNA from 1 species